rnacentral:rRNA from 1 species
UUCCGUAGGUGGACCUGCGGAAGGAUCAUUACCGAGUGAGGCCCUCUGGGUCCAACCUCCCACCCGUGUUUAUUUUACCUUGUUGCUUCGGCGGGCCCGCCUUAACUGGCCGCCGGGGGGCUUACGCCCCCGGGCCCGCGCCCGCCGAAGACACCCUCGAACUCUGUCUGAAGAUUGUAGUCUGAGUGAAAAUAUAAAUUAUUUAAAACUUUCAACAACGGAUCUCUUGGUUCCGGCAUCGAUGAAGAACGCAGCGAAAUGCGAUACGUAAUGUGAAUUGCAAAUUCAGUGAAUCAUCGAGUCUUUGAACGCACAUUGCGCCCCCUGGUAUUCCGGGGGGCAUGCCUGUCCGAGCGUCAUUGCUGCCCUCAAGCACGGCUUGUGUGUUGGGCCCCGUCCUCCGAUCCCGGGGGACGGGCCCGAAAGGCAGCGGCGGCACCGCGUCCGGUCCUCGAGCGUAUGGGGCUUUGUCACCCGCUCUGUAGGCCCGGCCGGCGCUUGCCGAUCAACCCAAAUUUUUAUCCAGGUGACCU